rnacentral:sRNA from 1 species
UUCUAUGAUAGAAACACAAACUAACCUUCGAAAUCUGCAGUUACUAUCUAAAUGGGAAAAAUGUUAUUUAAUACCUGAAAUUUCAAAAAUGGUCAAAUUAACCGUGAACUAUUGAAAUGAUCGUUUUAUACCUCAACAAAGAGUUGAUUUCUAAUUUAACCUAUAAUUUAUCGUUGACUUUUAAUUUAACCUAUAAUUUAUCGUUGACCAGGCCAAAUCGACUCACCGUUAACACUCCUUAACAGCGCUCCUAACAGCCCUUACAAAACAUGGCCUAACAGCCGUUAUCGUUGGUUUAAGGACGAAAACAGUUGUUAGUUACGCUGUUAGGAGAGCUGUUAAGAAGUGUUAACAAUGAGUCGCUUUGACCGGGUCAACGAUAACUUAUAAGUUAAAUUAGAAGUCAACUUUUUGUUGAGGUAUAAAACGGCAAUUUUAAGAAUUCACGAUUAAUUUAGCCACUUUUUGAAAGUUCAGGUAUUAAAUAAUAUUUUUCCCCUAUCUAAAUCCCUAACGACUAAAAAGACAAUAUUCUUU